AGUGAACGCUGGCGGUAGGCCUAACACAUGCAAGUCGAACGGCAGCACAGUAAGAGCCUGCUCUUACGGGUGGCGAGUGGCGGACGGGUGAGGAAUACAUCGGAAUCUACUUUUUCGUGGGGGAUAACGUAGGGAAACUUACGCUAAUACCGCAUACGACCUACGGGUGAAAGCAGGGGAUCUUCGGACCUUGCGCGAUUGAAUGAGCCGAUGUCGGAUUAGCUAGUUGGCGGGGUAAAGGCCCACCAAAGCGACGAUCCGUAGCUGGUCUGAGAGGAUGAUCAGCCACACUGGAACUGAGACACGGUCCAGACUCCUACGGGAGGCAGCAGUGGGGAAUAUUGGACAAUGGGCGCAAGCCUGAUCCAGCCAUACCGCGUGGGUGAAGAAGGCCUUCGGGUUGUAAAGCCCUUUUGUUGGGAAAGAAAAGCAGCAGGUUAAUACCCCGCUGUUCUGACGGUACCCAAAGAAUAAGCACCGGCUAACUUCGUG
rnacentral:rRNA from 1 species